UGUUUAGAUAGCUUAGGUGGUUAGAGCAAAGGAUUAAAAAUCCAAAUUAAAAAUCCUUAUGUAAGUGGUUCGAAUCCACUUCUAAACACAAUA